CAUGCAGGCGGUCGGACGCGUUUUGUGUGACAGCGGGUGGCUUAACUACCCGAGCAUGCGAAAGACGGCCGGACUUGAGGGCUCGAGAGGGACACGGAAUUCCGGGUGGAGUGGUGAAAUGCGUAGAGAUCCGGAGGAACACCGAAGGCGAAGGCAGUGUCCUGGCGAGUAUACCUGACGCUGAGGUGCGAAAGCCAGGGGAGCGAACG
rnacentral:rRNA from 1 species